GUUUUAUACAGAAUUGCUUUAUAGUUUAUGCAGCAUUUAAUGCAAUUACAUCAGAUUUUACUUUAAAUUACGGAAUUAAAUUACAGUUUUUAGAUUACAUAGAAAUUAAUUACACACAACACUGUAUAACAGUAAUUCAAAUGUAAACUUACGCAUUGACUCGAGCAGCUAUUUUCUCCCAAGCUAACUCUCUGUCCUUCGCCGCUGCAGCCGUGUUGCUUUUUUUUUAAAAUAUAUGUUCGUACUCUCCAUAUGCUUGCAUAAGCACAUCCAGUUCUGCUGGUGAAAAAUAUGAAGACCUCUUUUUGUCUGGCGCUGUUGCCAUGGUGACUCGUAAUAUCUGCGCUCCAUUGAUAAUGGCUUUUUAUAGUUGUGGUGCACGCGAGUUAAAAAUGUAAUGGAAGUCGUUUUGGAUAAAAAGCGUCAGCUAAAUAACCUGUAAUGUAAUAACAAAUCUUAUUCUAUAAUAAAAUACUGUUUGUAAAAAUUAGUUCAAACUUUGAAAGUUCAUAAAUCUCCCUGUUGCUAGUACUUUUUAGGUCAGUGUGUUAUGAGUGAAAAAUCUUUCUGAAUGAAAAUCUGUUGCCAGUGAUUGGUGGAACGAGCCCGUCAUGUAGGUGGCAUCCGGCUCCACAUCAGUCACCAGCAGCUGGUAGCUGUAGUUCAGCAGAAGGAGCUUUGCAAGCUAAUAAAAUGCAUUUACUGAAGUAAUUAGAGAAGAGGUAAACUUGUUUUCUGGUCAAAACCUAAAUUUCAGCUUGAUUUUGAUCAAAUACAAAUAAUAAAAUGAUCCAUGCAAAUAUCUGACUAUGUAUAAAGACACAAUACGUCAAUGCAGGGUUCAAGAAUGAAAACAUUUUUUUUUUUUUUGUCAUUUCACAAAAAGUGGAAAGCAAUGAUGCGCCGUGUGCCACGAUUCUUGAAGAGUAAAUGUUCCCCCCUACAGACACAAUUUUAAACUAUAGUUUUUCAUUUGCACUUAUAUAGCUAUAUAAGUGCAAAUGAAAUGAUGGACCUUUUUCAAGGAAAAAAACACAGCACAAACACUCGUGUGUUUCUGUUUGGUCCUCGGUCCCUUUGCUCAGCCGCAGAGUGUGUCUCAGAGACCUAAGGGCUGGCAACACAUUGGCUGUCCCUGUCACUUUGAAGCACUGGUCAUCAUUGUUGUUGCCACAUUGGAUCAAUCACACAACAGAGCCCAAAUUCUGCAUAGCUCAGACAGUUUACCAAUGGUGCUAUUGUGUCUUGCCUUGCAUACCGUAGCGGCCCAGGGCAUGGAGGCAAGAUUCAGUAAUCAAGGCACAAAAGGAAUCCUCUAAGUGGGUGAAGGGGGAUGGUGUCAAACUAUAAAAAAAAAAAAAAAACUUUUGGCAUCAAUGUCUACCCCCUGUGUGGGGAGAGCCGAAGAGAGAGGUGAGCCCGCUGGAAUACUUCCCAUCCGACACAGCUCCUCUCGAGAGGUUCUGCUUCCCAGUUCAGUGAACAAACGCUCACUUUAAUUAGCUGCAGGUGUCACCAGUGCCAGGUGCCGAGUGGUUACAGCACCUGCACAGGAGAGAAGACUCUCUCCAUCCCCUCCCCCAACCUGUGCCUGGGGAUCCGCCCCCUGUGCUGUGUAGUCACCUUUGUCCCCUGGUUUGCCAGUCCCUUGAUUACACUAUAUGUAUAUAUUGUGUAAUCAAGGGACUACGUUCCCCAGCAAGAUAAAAAUCGGUAUACAGUCAAAAUGUUUUUACAUCUUGAACACCUCAGUCGGGAUUCAUUUGGGGAUAUUUUUCCAAGACAGAUGUCCUUCCCCCACGGGCCAAGUAGAACAGCUUUGCAUUUUCUUUUAAAAUAAUAGAAAGAAAGGAAGGAAAAGGAAGCUGUGGGAUUAAAGUUGGACACAGAGCUUAACCAAUUUAAAAGGAGCAUGAUGUUUUCUUAUAAACAACUAAAAAUAAUUUACAAGACUUUUGAAGCUCAUUGAAUUUUAAACAGGGAUGAUGGAAUUAUGACUUAAAUCUAGUCACAAUAUCUUUGUAAGCUACUUUUACGAAGAUAACAUGAAGAGGUGACCUGAAUUAUUCAUGAGGUUUUUAUUUCUUUUUAUGUUUUAGUUUUUUCACACUACAAUGUGGCCAAAGUACAUCAGUCUCGGGUAGAGCAUGGAUCGGGCCGACUUUUUCUGUCCGUGCCCGGCCCGCGUCCCACAGAGUUGGGCCCGAGUCCGACCCGAGUCCGACAGCCUUUAAACUAUUUUGUCCGAAAACGACCUGAGCCCGACGGAGUCGAUGCCUCAACUGUUCAUAAUAAUGACACAUUCACAAACGUUUUUUUUUUAUAAAUAGCUUGCCUUUAUUAAACUCCGGCAUCAACAGAUAAAUAUACUCGCUCAAACAAACAAGCGCUGUUUGGGAACCGAGGUUCUACAUCAUGGGAAGCAGAUGUUGACUUCACUACUUAUUAAGAUAUUUUAAAUAUGGAAUGUUCAAUGUCUUAUCGCGCUGAUGUGUCCGAGCCAGACUAUAUUUUCUAAAUAUUUAUCCGGACCCGGCCCAACCCAUCGGGUCCCGACGGGUACCGACGGGCUCGGGUCGGGUAUCCACCUCUAGUCCCCAGCACACAUGUGCAAUUAAAGAUGCAUCUUGUGCUUAAAAUGUGAGUCCGGAUUGAUUUCUCAGAACUAAUAACAACCAGGCUGUGUUACUAGUAACUACUCCAGCAUUGUAGUGCCCAUUAGGAAUGCCUGGCCGCUCUGUGCGAGCUUAUCCCUUGGCCACCAGAGGUGCUGCCUGCAGUGUUGUCGAGAAGCGCUAAUCGCUUGUUGACUCCAGGGAAGUUAAGAAGAAAUUGUAGUAAUUAAGUCAAGAGGAAAAAGGGAAUUCCCAGGCAGGUGCUCUGUUUUGGCCAACCUAAGGGAGACCGGAUGACCAAUUUAACAUCAAUAGUAUCCUAAAAUAUAUUUUAUAUAUUUGAGGCAAGAAAUAGGUUGUCGUUUGACAAUUUGUGUGUUGUGAGACAUGGUGAGUGUUUCUUCUGGCCGGUGUGAUGUGCUUGGUUUUGAGUCGACCGAGUUAAACAUGCCAGCCGGGUUACAAACUUUCAGCAGUGCGUAUUUUAAAUGUAUAAUAUUUUGCAUUUAUAAUUUUACUUUAUUACAGGGACUGUUAAGUGUAGUUUAGCGCUGUAAUUUAUAACUGGUGAAGAACGAACCCAGAUGCAAUAUGGCAGACAGCAGUUGUAGUUCCCAACAGAGUAUUUUAUUUUCCUCAAUGCAACCAAACAGUCACCAGGAAAAGACGUGGUCGGGGACAGAAGACUGGGGGAAUUACCAGGGCAGGCGCAAGAAGGGGUAGUCCAAGACAGGCAGGGCCAACACCGCUGGGAACUAUGUCCAAGAGAAAAUGCAGGAAGGUCUGGCAUAAGUGCAGAGAACGAUCUGGCAGCGAGUGAGUGAGUGGGGUUUAGAUACUGAAGGGAGUGAGUAGAGUAGACAGGUGAGUGUGACAGGUCUACAGAAUAAACUGAUUAGGCGAGUAAGGGGGUAAAUGACCGGGUAGGAGCCAACAGUUGGUGCGGUUCUUAUCAGUCAACCUAUUUCUGGCUGCACUGUAAAGUUUGAAUGAAAUGCAGGGCCCCAUGAAGGAUGGACUAGAAACAAGUGUGUGUAUGAGGUUAACUUGAGAUCACUUAAAGCUAGAUACAGACAGGACCCCAUAAAGAACAGGGUAGAAAUAAAUGUGGGUAAAUAAUAAAUGUCAUUAAUAAACGACACGACGGACUGGCAAAUCCCCUCCAGCUCUGUGGCUGUCUCAACGGGUGCGUGCCAUGAGAGCCACCAUGCGAGCAUCAGAAAGGAGAUGGCGUAAAUAUAAAUAACCUGAUGACCUGCUUGAAUUUCAAUCUCUUCUCUCCUCUUUUUCUGCUUCUAUCUCUGCUGCCAAAAGCUCUUUCUACCAAUCCAGAAUUGAAUCUUCAUUUUCUAACGCCAAAAAACUCUUUUCGAUCUUCUCCAACCUCCUCGAACCCCCUAGUCCUCCUCCCCCUCCACCCUUCUUUCAGGAGACUUUGUCAACUACUUUACCAACAAAAUAGCUGACAUAUGCUCCUCUUUCUCAAACCCACCUCCUACUACUUGCAUCCCACUGACUUCACCUCUAUUGCCCUCGCUUUCCUCUUUCACCCCCGUCUCCUAACCAAAUUCUUACCCUAGUAACGUCUGCCCGUCCAACUACCUGCCCUCUUGAUUCCAUCGCAUCUUCUACAAUCUAUCGCUCCUGCCCUUCUUCCGUUCCUCACCUGUCUCAUCAACAAUACUCUAUUAUCUGGCUGUUUUCCCAAUUCUCUGAAGGAGGUAAGAGUUAACCCUCUCCUGAAGAAAACAACUACAGACCAGUCUCUCUUCUUCCCUUUUUGUCCAAAACUCUUGAACGUGCAAUCUUUAAACAACCUCCUUGACCCCAAGCAGUCAGGCUUCAAGGCAGGUCAUUCCAGAGACUGCUCUGCUUGCUGUCUCAGAGCAACUCCACACUGCUAGAGCCGCCUCUCUGUCCACUGUCCUCAUUCUUUUUCUACGUAACAUAUCAAAAAUAAGGAACUUCCUGUCUCAAAGUGAUGCAGAAAAAUUAGUUUGUGCGUUUGUCACUUCCAGACUGGACUACUGUAAUUCUUUGUUAUCGGGCUCCUCUUGUAAAUCUCUUAAGCCUCUCCAGUUGAUUCAGAAUGCUGCAGCACGUGUAUUAACAAGAACUAGGAAAAGGGAUCAUAUCACUCCUGUAUUAACUUCUCUGCACUGUCUCCCUGUUAAAUCAAGAAUAGAUUUUUAGGUACUUCUCCUCACCUGAUCGUAUCUUAAAGAGCUUGUAACACCUGCGCUCCAUAGAUGCUGGGUUACUUGUUGUACCUAUGGUUUUAAAAAGUAGGCUGGGGGCCAGAGCCUUCAGUUAUUAAGCUCCUCUUUUGUGGAACCAGGUUCCACUUUCAGUCCGGGGGACAGAUUUGGUCAGCUUUUUUAAAGUAAAACUUAAAACUUUCCUCUUUGAUUCUGCCUAUAGUUAGGGCUGGCUCAGGUUAGCCCGGACCAGCCCUUAGUUAAGCUGCUAUAUUCUUAGACUGCCGGGAGACUUCUUAGGACAUACCAAGCUCCUCUCUCACGCUCUCGUUCUACCAUAAUUCACGUUUUAUUAAUGCACAUGACUAAUUCAGCUUCUUUCCGGGAGUUUUUUUUGUGUGCUUUCUCCCCUAGCAGGUCUCUGUAGAUCGUAGUUCCUUCUGGACCCCGGUCCUGACACCUGCCGUGGUCCUGCUGACGCCUACUGCGGCCAUCAUCAUUAUUAUUUUAGAUAUUAAUCAUAUUUCUGUACUCGUAAACCAAUAUUACCCUCUCCUAAAGUCUCUGUGCUCUCCCUCCCCACAGGCUUCUGUAGAUGGUGGUUCUAUCUGAUGGUGAUUGCCCCUGCAGUGGUCCUGCUGUGCGCCUGGCUUACUACUCACAAUUACUUGAAUUAUUUCUGUCAUAGGAAUUGCAUGUAUUAUACAUUGUUCAUUCUGUGCACAUGGCAUCCAUUGUAGUCUGUCCAUCCCGGGAGUGGGAUCCCUCCUCUGACAUCCUCCCUAAGGUUUCUUCCCUUUUUUUCCCUCUUGGAAGGGUUUUUUAAUUUUUUGGGGAGUUUUUCCUGUGCCGAUGGUGGGUUUCGGGACAGACGAUGUUGUAUGUGUACAGACUGUAGCCCUCUGAGGCAAAUUUGUAAUUAGCGAUUUUGGGCUAUACAAAAUAAAAUGAAUUGAAUUGAAUUCUUCUAGACCUCUCCGCUGCAUUUGACACAGUCAACCACCAGAUCCUUAUUUCCUCCCUUCAGGAACUUGGUGUCACAGGCUCUGCUCUCUCCCUUCUCUCGUCCUACCUCGACACCGGCACCUACCGGGUAAUCUGGCGAGGAUCUGUGUCGAGGAUGAGUUCCUCAGGGUUCUGUCCUGGGUCCCCUCCUCUUCUUGCUCUACACCAACUCUCUCUCGGCGCUCUCAUUUGCUCGCAUGGCUUCUCCUACCCCAGCUAUGCCGAUGACACCCAACUAAUUCUCUCCUUCCCUCACUCGGACACCCAGGUGGCGGCACGGAUCUCUGCCUGUCUGUCUGACAUCUCUCAGUGGAUGUCCGAUUCAGCAUGAAGAAAUUACUGUAGUGAUCAUGUUUACAAAUCAAAAUUUUCAUCAAGACUGAACUACUUCUCUUUCCGGGAAAAGAUUCUCCGACCCAGGACAUGACGGUCAACUUUUGCAACUCUGUGCUAACGCCCACUUUGACUGCUAGGAACCUCGGCGUCACACUCGACAGCCAACUUUCCCUGACUCCCAACAUCACUGUGACAACACGAUCCUGUUGAUACACGCUCUACAACAUCAGGAGAAUACGUCCCCUUCUCACUCAGAAGGCAGAGCAGGUACUGAUUCAGGCUCUUGUCAUCUCCCACCUGGACUACUGCAGCAGCUCGACUGGUCUUUCACCUUCCAAAAUUCUCCCACACUACUCCACUCCUCCGCUCUCUUCCCUGGCUACCGGUGGCCGCCCGCAUCCAGUUCAAAACAUUGCUGCUCACAUACCAUGCUGUGAAUGGUUCGGGUCGAGCUUACAUCCAGGACAUGGUCAAACCCUACAUCCCGACCCACACUCUCCGCAUCUGCAAAACUGCUUGUCCCUCCCUUACUGAGAGCAAAACACUCAACGAGAUCACGUCUCUUUGCUGUCCUUGCUCCAAAAUGGUGGAACGAGCUCUCUGAUGACACCAGGACCGCAGAGAUCCUUCUUCCGCCGCAAACUAAAGACACACGUCUUCAGACUCUACCUCGACUAAAAGACUAAUUGUAGCCCUUAAAUUGUACUUAUAACGCCACUCAUCUAUAGAAAAUUGGAAAUUGCACUUUCUUGCACUGCAUGAAAAGUGAGAUUUUCGUCCCCGUAAACGCCCGGAAAUCUCCCUACUUUCCGACAAUUUGCAACCCGCGCACGUCGCGUUUGUCUGUGCCACAAAUUGUCGGAAACGAACCAUGACGUAGGCGGAGAGCUGGCGGAGGUGCGAAUGGCCCGAAUUAGCAUAUGAAUGCAGCGAAACCGCGGGUGGCCGAGCGGGCUUGAAUAUCCUUACUCCUUAUUGGAUGAAACCACAACUUACUAACAAAUAAAAUCACUCGUGAUUGGCAGCAAAACCACACGUGGGCAGACCAGGCUUGAGUUUUCUUGUUCAUGAUUGGAUAAAAACAACUUUCAAUCACUCGUGAUUGGUUGGCAGAUCUGUCGCUAUUGGUCACCCGCCUCAUUUUAUUUAUAUAUUCAUUAUGCUGUAUAUUCAUUUCAUGGUUAUCCUAUGCGGCUACUACACUAUUAUUAGGAUACCAACCAGGACAUCAAUGAAUUUAUAGAGAAAAUGAACAUUUGCCACAUGUUUAUGCAAAGAAAGAGCUUUAUUAACAACACACAAACAAUGACUACAUACAAAGUGAGGAUCUGCCCACACUUGGGUAACGGCGGUUUAAAAACUACAGCUCAGUAAACUGUCCGUUUGCCUCCUCGGGGUUGUAGACCGUCACUGGCGCUGUGUUUUCCGAGGCAGGUCUCUUGUGCAGGCGGCUCGUGUGCCUGUGGCGACCGUACAAUCCACCCCGAGACCCCGCCAACAACGCCGUCCCCUCCGUCCGACGUGAGCUCUACGGUGGCGGAGUUCCAGAGUUCCACCUCGUCAUCAGUCAGCACACUUUGUCUCGAUUCCAGCAGCUGUAAAAACAACAAUGAAUCAGUACUGUGCGAUGCGUACGGACACAACACAUCUAUCAAUGCACCUGAAACAAGUCAGCAAAUAAACUCUGACCCUCUUUCUUCUCGCUUGACUCCGCGCUGAACUCCGCAUUGAGUGUUCCGGCUGGAAAACCUGAAGCUCCUGCGUCCCGUCUCACAAUACGUCUCACAGGCGGCUGGAAAACAAUUAAAUGAGUGUGGUAUGAAUACAAAAAAAAAAUCAAACGCAAGUCACAGUAACAUUUAACAAGGAAGGAGAAACAGUAAACAGUGUCACUUACACACAAUGACGUCGUUAAAAUCUGGACUUUUCCCGGAGGAAAUACGAGGUCACCGCCUCUUUAUGAGGCGAGAUUAGUCUGUGAAAACAAAAUGUUCAGUUAUGAUCGGUAUCCAUCCUAUGGUAACAAUACGUAUAUAUUCCCUUAUAGCGCAGAAUGAAAGCAUAUUCUUUAAAUCUGACCCUUGCUCCGGUCCGUAGCGCCUGUAAUUUGUCUCGGAGUUGAGAAGACGGCGCACCGCUUCCUGUAAACGACACGGCAAAGAAAAUAGACUUUAAUAAAGCUGUUUCUGCUCACUUGUAAGGCUACUAGGCUACGCUUAGCUUGAGGCUACGCUACUUUUAGCUUAGCUUGCAGUCAUCGAACGUAUUCUUACCGCUAUCGUGGGAUUGUGCGCCCGUCUCCUCUUCUUUGAGUCGGUUCCUCUCCUCCAUGGACAGAAACCCGCAGAGUCCCGAACGCUCCAGUGGAGCGAACCGCUCGUUGAUAUCGGCAGUUUGUUGUUGGAGUUGACGAGACGAUCCACUGAGAGCUUUCAGCAGCUUCUUCUCGUCUGUCCGCGGACUGGCCGAAAGUUGGUGACCGCGGAGAGGAGUUGAAGGCGAGUUGAACGCGAGACGUCGUCCCGCCAUUAUUCACGAACCAGCAAAAACCAAACAAAGGAACUGGAGAUACAGUUCUUCUGAAUAUAGUAACACGUGUUUGUUCGUAUGCUCGUCUUCCAAGUACUGCUGUAUCAGUCAUGCCUAUGCCCUCACACGUGAUUGGACGAGGAGUCUAAGGGUCCUCCAAUCACAUACUGUCACACCUGUAUGUCAAGUUGCGUUUUUGUCCUGUCUCCAGUUGUUUUUUGACUUCCUGUUUUAUUUUGGAAACUAACUCCCUCUCGUUUCAGGUCCCUUGCCCUUCCUCAUGUGUCACCAGUCUGAUUGUCUCCCCUGAUUCCUGAU
ensembl:lncRNA